rnacentral:lncRNA from 1 species
CAGAGGAAAUAGUUUACGACUCUAAUAAAACAAAGCAAGAAGGGUUUGCAUCAAGAAGAUAAAGAUACUACUUUAUUCGGGUGAAAUAGCAUAUUCAUUAGUGAAAAGAAAUCGACCAAUGAAUCUCAACCCUCGUGAGGCUAUGUCUGAUGCAAGCAAAGAUAAUAUAACUCGUGAAGAGGAAGAGAGGAAAAAAAGAAAGAAAAAAGAGUGAGUAUUCUGAAAUGUGGUGAACCAUUGCCUUCCCAACCCAAAAGACCUCAUAACAUAACUGCCCUAGCUCUCGAGACGUGUGUCCCAUUUGCACGUGAGCCACUAGUGUGGUUCAAUGUGGAAGUGACAGCUUCUCCACACUCACAAGCAUCACCAAUAAAAUGGACCACAAAAAAUAAAAAUAUAAAACGAUUAAUUGCCUCGUGCAUGUGCCCUAAAGCUAGUAUUCCCCACAAGAUGGAAUCAAAAAUAAAAAUCAAUUAAUUCUUUUGCUUUG